rnacentral:rRNA from 1 species
AUUGAACGCUGGCGGCAGGCUUAACACAUGCAAGUCGAGCGGAGAUGAGGUGCUUGCACCUUAUCUUAGCGGCGGACGGGUGAGUAAUGCUUAGGAAUCUGCCAUUUAGUGGGGGACAACAUUCCGAAAGGAAUGCUAAUACCGCAUACGUCCUACGGGAGAAAGCAGGGGAUCUUCGGACCUUGCGCUAAAUGAUGAGCCUAAGUCGGAUUAGCUAGUUGGUGGGGUAAAGGCCUACCAAGGCGACGAUCUGUAGCGGGUCUGAGAGGAUGAUCCGCCACACUGGGACUGAGACACGGCCCAGACUCCUACGGGAGGCAGCAGUGGGGAAUAUUGGACAAUGGGCGAAAGCCUGAUCCAGCCAUGCCGCGUGUGUGAAGAAGGUCUUCGGAUUGUAAAGCACUUUAAGUUGGGAGGAAGGGCAGUCAGUUAAUACCUGGUUGUUUUGACGUUACCAACAGAAUAAGCACCGGCUAACUUCGUGCCAGCAGCCGCCGUAACAC